rnacentral:misc_RNA from 1 species
UCCGGCUUCCCGCCGGCAGUCUCCCGAGAGUCCCCGCCAUUACGCGCUGGCAACACGGGACAAGGGUUGCGCUCGUUGCGGGACUUAACCCAACAUCUCACGACACGAGCUGACGACAGCCAUGCAGCACCUGUACACGUGUCCCGAAGGAGGGCCCCUGUUUCCAGGGGCUUUCACGUGCAUGUCAAGCCCAGGUAAGGUUCUUCGCGUUGCUUCGAAUUAAACCACAUGCUCCGCCGCUUGUGCGGGUCCCCGUCAAUUCCUUUGAGUUUUAGCCUUGCGGCCGUACUCCCCAGGCGGGGUGCUUAAUGCGUUUGCGACGGCACGGAAGGGGUUGAAGACCUCCCCACACCUAGCACCCAACGUUUACGGCUGGGACUAC